ACUGUAUUCGGUGCGUUUAAAGAAAAAAAAAAUAUAUAUAUAUAUAAAAGUAAGAUGUACAGUAUAAGAUAGAGUCUUUUACGGUUGGCGAUCGCACACUUAUCGGAACGAUGGUAAACCGGAGAUUUAAGUUCGUUAAAAAGUCUAAAAGGGAAAAUAAUCUUCGCUAGAAUUUGGAUUGACAGAAGGGACAAAGAAUUCGACGUUUCCCGAUUCGAAGCCGCCUAGCAGAGAAUAGAAUCAAAUGAUGGCGCCAAGUGGUACAAAUUGGGAGCAAGGACGAAUGAUCUGACAGAAUUCACCUUCCUUUCCUCCUCCUUCCAAGUUCGUAGGAAUGGUAAAUUUGGCUGCCAAAAUAAUUCGUCAGACGUCUUGGCAAACAAUCUACUUAGUCCAGACACAGCUGUUGGUUACAUAUGACAAAGUAUGAAUUUCGUCCUCCUAAUGGCACACAAAUGGGAUGCAGAAAGCGUAAUUGUCAUAUCACUCUUAACCCAGCACAUUCCCAGAAAAUUAUUCCUCCGGGAGACAAAAAAAGAAAGAAAAACUUACACGCUGAUCAAUCAUACCGAGAUCGAGUUGCACUUAUAUGUUUUUCUAGAUUUAAAAAGGAUUUGGAAUUUAGAUUAAUUCUGAUGGAAUCGUUUUAAUUUAGGAGGAGACACCGAGAGAUUUUUAGAUGCUUCCAAUGCCUGGCGGAAAAUUGCUUGUUCUAGGUUCUGGAAAGAAAUUUUUCUCGAUAGAUAUUGUACCGAUUACUGCUAGAGUGAGUACCAGGUCGUCUUCCAAUCGAUCAGUUCCGUACCACAAUCUUAGUCGAACAGAAAUCGUUAUACCGGUAGCAUUUAUGAGUAAACUAAGGAUCGCACUACCGAUUCCUGCUAAGCUGCGAUGUUUGUGCGGCAUUCUAAGUUAAUGUUAUGGGUUUGAAUUAAUUAUACGACAGUAAGUCUGUAUAUGUCGCUUUGACUACGUGUCUGCGACUGAUUAGCUUCUUAAUAAAUGACGAAAACAAUAGACUGUGUACGUUUUCAAUGGGCCAUCUUGUACGAACAAGUUAGCACACUCUCUUUAUAGGAUGUUUCAGAGCAAAUUAUGCAGAAAAAUUAAUUAUAUAUCGGGUUAAUAAAGUUAAUUAAAUCAGUUUGUUUAUCGAUCGGACGGCUAUCGACAGAAAAUCUUUCGCUUUCGCCUUUACUUCGUUCUGAUCGUGACGCGUGAAUUAUUAUUAUUAUUAUUUUUAUUUUUAUUAUUUUGGAUCGUCCAGAAAUCCGUAAUAUCUAGAAAAACGUAAAACGGACAGGAAAUUUCACUCGUUAAGAUCCUAAUACGUUACAUAUACGUGUAUAAUAUAAGCAAUAGGCGCACUAAUCGAAUUUCGUUUGUGCUCGACAUUCGUCAGUAUCGAUUUUGUACCUUCUCCAAAACUCUGUGGUCAAUUCUGGUUUCCUCUAUUUACUUUGGUGUAUAAAUUGCUUAUCAACAACGAUUACAAAACUAUAUUCAUCCUUGAAAAGUUAAAGAUGCUUGUAAGUCCUACAUAGAUACUGUAAUUGCUGAUAAGAAGAAAACCUCCUAUGCACACAAUCGAGAUAAGGUAUAUCAUAAAUGAUUUCCUGAUUAAAAAAAAAAAAAAAAAAUAGAUGCAUUUUAUAGCUAAAGAAAAGAAAAUAGAUAAAAUUAAAUUUAUUUAAUUUUUACUUGUAUUAUCCGAAUUACCAAUGUUUUCCAACAUUUAUCUUGUUUAUGAAUUAUGACAGUAUUUAAAUUAUGUAAAAUACAUUAUUAUUAAAAAAUUUUUAUACCAAUGAGCGGAUCUCUUGACUGGCAUUAUAAGACUAGCAUGUCAAACUUUAUGAGCAUAUGUUUGACAUGCUUGCCUUAUACUAGUUAUAAUAUAUUCCAAGUUAAUAAGUAAUCAGGCUAUACAUUAUAUUAGACAUGAUAUAACGGGUUUUUAAAAUUAUAUCUACCUAAAAUUAUAAUUUCAUUACUUUUCUGUAUAUUAUGUAGUAGCUUUUAAAUAUCUGAUAAAAAUUUUGAUUUAAUUAAAAUUCUAUUUGUGAUUUCCACAAAUGUAAAAAUUUAUUUAGAUUUUUACUUAUAAAAGAG
rnacentral:lncRNA from 1 species